UACGUAGGGGGCUAGCGUUGUCCGGAAUCAUUGGGCGUAAAGCGCGUGUAGGCGGUCCGGUAAGUCCGCUGUGAAAGUCGGGGGCUCAACCCUCGGAUGCCGGUGGAUACUGUCGGGCUUGAGUACGGAAGAGGCGAGUGGAAUUCCUGGUGUAGCGGUGAAAUGCGCAGAUAUCAGGAGGAACACCAAUUGCGAAGGCAGCUCGCUGGGACGUGACUGACGCUGAGACGCGAAAGCGUGGGGAGCAAACAAG
rnacentral:rRNA from 1 species